rfam:Pseudomassariella vexata strain CBS 129021 BCR38scaffold_14, whole genome shotgun sequence.
GCCCCAUAGGCCAAACGGUAAGGCGCCUCACUAGUAAUGAGGAGACAGUUGGUUCGACUCCAGCAUGAGGCA